UGUCCAAAAACUGCAAAAAACGGCGUUACGCCUGUGGCUUCGUGCACCGAGUCACGGACUGACACUUCAAUCUCCGGUAUGGCUCGAUGAUCCUUCUCCAAAUACGUCCUGAUUGCAGCUAAUGUUGUCCGGUUCACCCUCUCGGCGGCAUUGAAUUGCGGUGAGUAGACUGCUAUGCGCAGAUGUCGGACGCCAAAGGUGCUGAUCAUAUCCUGGAAGAUCUUCGACAGGAACUGCUUUCCGUUUUCGGAGUGGAUCACCUCGGGUACCCCAAACAAGUAGAAACUUCCUGUACUAGGAAUUGAGCUACGUUCGCCGCUGUCGCCUCUCUCAUUGCCUUCAGAAAGGUAAAUUUAGAGAAGUGGUCUACGACGACAAAAAUCCAGGCUUGUCCCCUUUUCGACAGCGGAUAGUUCCCCAGAAAAUCGAUGUAUAAUUUCUGGAACGGCCUCUCCGUUACGACUUCCUGACUGAUCCCUACCUGGCUUCGAUAAUUAGGUGCUUUGGACUCUUUACAUGCAUCGCAGAUCCGGACUUACUCCCGGACUUGUGUCGUCAUCGCUGGCCAGUAGAAUUGCCUUCUUAGCCGGGUCUUUUUAAUUCCACCGCGUCCAGCUGUGUGGUCUUCAUGGGCCUUGGAGAUAAUUCCGUCAGUGCCGCGGGAAUCCAUAAUUUCCAAAUGGAUCCUUCCACUUGGCCGUCCAUUCGCGUGAAGGCCAUCCGCUUGAAUAUCCACUCGUAGGUCGGGCAACAUGUCUUGAUUCUUGCAUAUUUCUCCUUUUAGCUCCUGAUAUUCUGCCGACUCAAACCCUGUCGUCUGGAACCCUAGGAUCUCCAUUGGAUCUAUCACCACUUCGUCGAUGCAGCGUGAGAGUGUAUCUGCCACGACGUUAUCGACUCCUUUCCGGUGUUCGAUCCCAAAGUCGAACCUCUGCAGUCGCAACGACCAUCUCGCAAGACGUCGGUUUAGGUCCUUCAAUGACAUGAGCCAUUUCAGGCUGGCGUGAUCCGUGAAGGGCAUCAACUCAACGUACGGUCUGCAUUUCUCAAUGGCCAACUCCGCAGCUAAACACUCUUUUUCCGUUACCGAAUAAUUUAGCUGAUGCUUGUUUAACUUGGCUGAGAAGAAAGCCACUGGACGCUCGGACGCUCGCUUCGUCGUCCAACUGAAACAACACCGCUCCCACUCAGUAAUUCGAUGCGUCGCACUGUAAGUAGAAAGGCUUCUUGACUCAGCAUCAGCAUGACUCAAUACCGGCGUCGUGGUGAGUGCCUUUUUCAGGGAUCCAAUCGCCGUCUCGGCCUCCUUCGACAAGGAAAACUUUCCACGCGGAUGCUUCUUCGGCGCGUCUGUCAUACCGAAUGGUAUCAUCACGAAUUUGUACAGCGGACGACCUGGAACGGUGAACGCGGUACACUUCCUGCUUUCUGGAUCCAGCAUGAUUUGCCAGAACGCAAAUUUGAGGUCUACACUUGAAUUGUAGUGCGUCUGGUCGAUCCUGGACAGUAUUCCCUCAAUGCGAGAUAUAGUUGUCCAUCUUCACCCUGAGGUCGCCUAGGAGCUCACGACUGCCCUUUCCGAGGAUACUUACGGAAGCCCCAGUAUCCAGGAGUCCGGAAAUCUUCCGUCCUCGGAUUUGCACAUCGGCAAAAACCCUUGGGUCACGUCCUGACCCACGCCUGACUGCUUCAGCCACCUCCUUGCGAGUCUGUCUCCUUUGCCGGAAGCGUGCACGGGCCUUCUGGAGUCUACGGCUGACACCUCGCAUUCCAUUCAUCUGGUGUCCGUCAAAGAUCCGAUUUCGGACUUUUUUAUAUCUCCUCAUUCUCUAUUCGACCGGUAAGAAUUUUAAACUAUAUUUCUCUACACUACUUGGGUUAAUAUGCUUAAUUUUUACAAUAUCCAAUAUGGCAUCCUUCACUUUCUCGCGGGCCUCCGUCCCGAGCUCUGACAUACCGAAGUUGGGACACUUCGGCGUGUACGUUUCGGGCUUUCCGCAGAGGUAGCAGAAUACUCUGCGUUCCUUUGACAUACACUCUCGGAACCUGUGGUCAACUUCUCCGCAAUUCCAGCACCCCAGCCUCGGCUUCGCUUUCAGGUGUGUUUCCGCAACCAUCACCUCUUCCUCUCCUUCCGACAACUCCGACUCUGGCUCGAUCUCCUCCACUCGCUUACCGGAUUGUUGGAACUUCAGCGUCGGGCGAAAAGCUGACCUUCGCUCGCGUCUGCGGAAAUGGUACUCCACCUCCACACCUCCGCCACACACUCUUCCCUAAGCUGCUCCAGGUUCCGGACUCGGAUCGCGUACACAUAACGAGCGAUCUCCUCCUCGAGCCCCUUCUUGAUGACUCUGACCAUUUCGGAAUCUGCUAUUGGUGUGAUAAGUCUUGCUGCCAGCCUCCGCAUCGCUCGAAAGUAGUCUUUCACCGAUUCUCCAGGUUCUUGCCGUCGCUCAUGCAACGCACACAUCCGCUCGUAUUGCCCACCUACUGCACGGAAUCGGGACACCAACUCGUCCUUUAAGUCCUCCCAGACUUCUGGAGGCCUCUCUCGGACAAACUGCCAGUACCACACGGCAGCCCGUCCUCUCACCAGCUGGUGAAAAUUAUCCAGGACUUCGUCCCACGAGCGUCGACUCUGCCUCUGGAGAAAUUCGACCCGAAAGACGAAAUCCUCCAACGUCAGUUUGGCUGGGUCUGGGUCGCCGUCGAAAUGGAUGUCCCACUUGUCGAAGCGUCCCAGUCUCGGCUCCCUCCACUCGUCUCGCCUCUCGUAGGGCGUCGUGAAUCGCCGCGCUCCGCCGUCUCCUUCUGGUUUCCGUUCCAGUCCUCUCGGUCUCGU
rnacentral:lncRNA from 1 species